GGGGGCUUAGCUCAGUGGUAGAGCACUCGACUCCAGAUCGAGCGGUCAGUGGUUCGAUCCCUCUAGUCCCCA
rfam:Fonticula alba strain ATCC 38817 unplaced genomic scaffold supercont2.18, whole genome shotgun sequence.